CCUACGGGUGGCAGCAGUGAGGAAUAUUGGUCAAUGGGCGAGAGCCUGAACCAGCCAAGUCGCGUGAGGGAGUACUGCCCUAUGGGUUGUAAACCUCUUUUGUCGGGGAGCAAAAGCCGGACGUGUCCGGCUGUGAGAGUACCCGAAGAAAAAGCAUCGGCAAACUCCGUGCCAGCAGCCGCGGUAAUACGGAGGAUGCGAGCGUUAUCCGGAUUUAUUGGGUUUAAAGGGUGCGCAGGCGGAUUUUUAAGUAAGCGGUAAAAUCGUGGGGCUCAACCCCAUCCAGCCGUUGAAACUGGGGAUCUAGAGUGUGCGAGAGGUAUGCGGAAUGCGUGGUGUAGCGGUGAAAUGCAUAGAUAUCACGCAGAACCCCGAUUGCGAAGGCAGCAUACCGGUGCACAACUGACGCUCAGGCACGAAAGCGUGGGUAUCGAACAGGAUUAGAUACCCGUGUAGUC
rnacentral:rRNA from 1 species